GACGAACGCUCGUUGCGUGCUUAACACAUGCAAGUCGAACGGAAAGGCCCUGCUUUUGUGGGGUGCUCGAGUGGCGAACGGGUGAGUAACACGUGAGUAACCUGCCCUUGACUUUGGGAUAACUUCAGGAAACUGGGGCUAAUACCGGAUAGGAGCUCCUGCUGCAUGGUGGGGGUUGGAAAGUUUCGGCGGUUGGGGAUGGACUCGCGGCUUACCAGCUUGUUGGUGGGGUAGUGGCUUACCAAGGCUUUGACGGGUAGCCGGCCUGAGAGGGUGACCGGCCACAUUGGGACUGAGAUACGGCCCAGACUCCUACGGGAGGCAGCAGUGGGGAAUAUUGCACAAUGGGCGGAGCCUGAUGCAGCAACGCCGCGUGCGGGAUGACGGCCUUCGGGUUGUAAACCGCUUUCGCCUGUGACGAAGCGUGAGUGACGGUAAUGGGUAAAGAAGCACCGGCUAACUACGUGCCAGCAGCCGCGGUGAUACGUAGGGUGCGAGCGUUGUCCGGAUUUAUUGGGCGUAAAGGGCUCGUAGGUGGUUGAUCGCGUCGGAAGUGUAAUCUUGGGGCUUAACCCUGAGCGUGCUUUCGAUACGGGUUGACUUGAGGAAGGUAGGGGAGAAUGGAAUUCCUGGUGGAGCGGUGGAAUGCGCAGAUAUCAGGAGGAACACCAGUGGCGAAGGCGGUUCUCUGGGCCUUUCCUGACGCUGAGGAGCGAAAGCGUGGGGAGCGAACAGGCUUAGAUACCCUGGUAGUCCACGCUGUAAACGGUGGGUACUAGGUGUGGGGUCCAUUCCACGGGUUCCGCGCCGUAGCUAACGCUUUAAGUACCCCGCCUGGGGAGUACGGCCGCAAGGCUAAAACUCAAAGGAAUUGACGGGGCCCCGCACAAGCGGCGGAGCAUGCGGAUUAAUUCGAUGCAACGCGUAGAACCUUACCUGGGUUUGACAUGGAUCGGGAGUGCUCAGAGAUGGGUGUGCCUCUUUUGGGGUCGGUUCACAGGUGGUGCAUGGCUGUCGUCAGCUCGUGUCGUGAGAUGUUGGGUUAAGUCCCGCAACGAGCGCAACCCUUGUUCACUGUUGCCAGCACGUUAUGGUGGGGACUCAGUGGAGACCGCCGGGGUCAACUCGGAGGAAGGUGGGGAUGACGUCAAGUCAUCAUGCCCCUUACGUCCAGGGCUUCACGCAUGCUACAAUGGCUGGUACAGAGAGUGGCGAGCCUGUGAGGGUGAGCGAAUCUCGGAAAGCCGGUCUCAGUUCGGAUUGGGGUCUGCAACUCGACCUCAUGAAGUCGGAGUCGCUAGUAAUCGCAGAUCAGCAACGCUGCGGUGAAUACGUUCCCGGG
rnacentral:rRNA from 1 species